rnacentral:lncRNA from 1 species
UAUCAUUCCUCGAGUCACCCUGAACUUCUCCGUCUGGACUAUCUCUGAAUAUCAAUGGAUGAGAACUGGAAGAUAGUGGUGGGUCUGUAGUCUGCUGCAAUUGGACAUCAUUUUGGGAAAGGCAAGCUGAAGUUGCUGAAGAUGAACUAAACAAAUAAUCCAGUGGGUCUGUAGUCUGCUGCAAUUGGACAUCAUUUUGGGAAAGGCAAGCUGAAGUUGCUGAAGAUGAACUAUCCAAAUAAUCCAAUGUGUGUCCUGCAGUGUUAAGAGUUUGAGGUGCCAAAAACCCAUGGUUCUGGUUCUUGGAGACGUUUAUU